UACGGGGGGGGCAAGCGUUGUUCGGAAUUACUGGGCGUAAAGGGCGCGUAGGCGGUUCGAUAAGUCAGCUGUGAAAACCAUGGGCUUAACUCAUGGCCUGCAGUUGAGACUGUCGGGCUGGAGUGUGGGAGAGGAGAGUGGAAUUCCUGGUGUAGCGGUGAAAUGCGUAGAUAUCAGGAGGAACACCGGUGGCGAAGGCGGCGACCUGGGUAGAUACUGACGCUGAGGCGCGAAAGCGUGGGGAGCAAACAGG
rnacentral:rRNA from 1 species